CGAAGUACCUGUUCCGACUCUACAUGGCACUGCAGCAGUACAGGGAAGCCGCUCGCACUGCCAUCAUCAUCGCUAGGGAAGAGCAGAAUGCUGGUAACUACCGUAGCUCCCACAAUGUGCUGUUCAGCAUGUACACACAACUGCAGGCCCACAA